AUUGAACGCUGGCGGAAUGCUUUACACAUGCAAGUCGAACGGCAGCACGGGGGCAACCCUGGUGGCGAGUGGCGAACGGGUGAGUAAUAUAUCGGAACGUGCCCAGUCGUGGGGGAUAACGUAGCGAAAGUUACGCUAAUACCGCAUACGAUCUACGGAUGAAAGCGGGGGAUCGCAAGACCUCGCGCGAUUGGAGCGGCCGAUAUCAGAUUAGGUAGUUGGUGAGGUAAAGGCUCACCAAGCCAACGAUCUGUAGCUGGUCUGAGAGGACGACCAGCCACACUGGGACUGAGACACGGCCCAGACUCCUACGGGAGGCAGCAGUGGGGAAUUUUGGACAAUGGGCGCAAGCCUGAUCCAGCCAUUCCGCGUGCAGGACGAAGGCCUUCGGGUUGUAAACUGCUUUUGUACGGAACGAAAAAGCCUUGGUUAAUACCCAGGGUCCAUGACGGUACCGUAAGAAUAAGCACCGGCUAACUACGUGCCAGCAGCCGCGGUAAUACGUAGGGUGCAAGGGUUUAUCGGAAUU
rnacentral:rRNA from 1 species